AAACAGAUCACAAAACCAAAACACAAGCUAGAUUAACAACCAACUAUAAUAAUCAUGACGUGUCACAAAAUCUUCCUUGUAAUCUCUGUGAUGCUCGCUGUCUCAUCAUUGGUCAACGCAGUUGACUUCUUGGUCGUCGACAACACAGGCGACUCCCCUGGCGGAAGAAAAUUUCGUGAAGAGAUCGGUGGCGAAAGCUACGGCACACAGUCACUAAGAUCUGCGACGGACUUUGUCUGGGGUUUGUUCCAGCAAACCAACAACCCCUCGGACAGAAGAGACGUAACAAAGAUCACUCUGUUCAUGGACAACGGGAACGGCGUUGCGUACAACACCAACUCGGGAAGCGAGAUACACUUUAACGCGGGGUAUCUCGCGGGUUUCCCGGGAGAUGUAAAGAGGGAAUUCACCGGUGUGAUUUAUCACGAGGUGGUUCAUUCUUGGCAAUGGAACGGUCCAGGUGGCCUUAUCGAAGGUAUAGCGGACUAUGUGAGGCUGAAAGCGGGUUAUGCACCGGGUCACUGGGUAGGGCCCGGUGGUGGUGAUAGGUGGGACCAGGGCUAUGACGUCACUGCGAGGUUCUUAGACUAUUGUAACGAUCUGAGGAAUGGGUUUGUGGCGGAGCUUAAUAAGAAGAUGAGGAAUGGCUAUAGUGACAGCUUCUUUGUUGAUCUGCUAGGGAAAGACGUGGACCAACUCUGGAGAGAGUAUAAGGCCAAGUAUGGUCAGUAAAUUGUUAAACGUACAAAUUAUAAAUGAUAAUCGUAUUAGUGACAUGCCAUUCAAAAUAAAAGUGAGAUGUUUAAAAAACAUCAGCAUGUGUAGUAAUUUGUAUUCUAUUAUGAAUUUGUAAGCUCGAAUAAGAAAACAGAUAUAUAUAUAUAUAUAUAUACUAUUGUGUAUUAGUACUCUUUUAGAGUUAUUGUCAAAAGUAUAACUUAUAAGUAAAUAAAUCGUGUUAAAAUC